CUCGAAACGAUAGAACGUGAUUCCGCCAUUAACGUGACUCGUCUCGUCUCGUGAUAUUCUUUGCGAAACUUUGUGACGUGAAACGUGGUGAAAAACACAGAAAUAUUCUCUUUUUCUAUCGAAUUUAAAGCUCAAAUUGUUUUUUAACUAUUUGUUUGAAAAGUGCAGACGUUCGACGUUUUCGGUAUAACUUUUAUUCAGAAAACAAUAAAGUUUGAAGUUGUGGUGUACUUGAGUAAAUUCCAAUAAUUAGGAGACUGAUUCUUAAACUUUGCCAAUUUAUCACGAUGGGAAUUCUUCUUGUGAAUGGUGAAACUUUGGGCUGAUAUUUUUAGCUAUAUUCAAGCAUCGCGAUAUUCAGUGCCCUUUCAAUCGAUGCAUCGAUUGCCGUGAAAGAAAAAUGAAUAACCAUUUAAAAGAAAUCAUCGAAAAAGAACUCGAGGAGGGGAUCGCGCCUUCGGGGGUCUUCCUCCAACUCGUUGGCGGGUACGGAGGGGUACGUCGAUCACGCGGUCACGCCAGGGAAACGAUAGAAACGAUGAGGAGGCAGCUGGAGGAGAGAGAGUCUCGCAUCUCUGGCGAAGAGUCAUGAAAGAAGUUCUUAUCGCGAGGGAAGAUGAAAACGCGGGAGAAGGCUGGAACGUCGCGGCUCGAUAACAUCUCUCUGUGUGUUCUGCGACUGCAUUCCACUCGUGGAAGAUAAAUACUCGCACGUAGAAUUGGAAAUCACGGGUCGAUUGCUUCGUUCCCUUCCUACCUGUGCGCUCUCCCUCCUAUUUUUUGCUCGGGUGAAAAAGAGAUUGGCUUCUGUGGUAAUGGCUUUUUUCCUCUUUUUCGAAAGAAAAAGCGCGGAGAGAACGUCGUAUUUUCCAUUUAUUUGCUUUUCCCCCCUCCUCCCUCUCCUCUUCUUCUCCUUCUUUUGUUUAGUCCGAGGGUUUAUUGAUUAAAAGUCGCGCAGCGUGCGUAUCGUUCGAUUUUAUUGUUGGGACGACGUUUGGCGACUUAACAAGUGUGUUAUUGUUAUGGAAACUUGUUAUCGAAAUCACUCGUCCGGGAGAUUGAAUGUAAUAAUUCGAUCCUUUCCUUUUUCCUCCCCAGAAGACGACACACGAGGCGAGAAAUUGAAGAAAUUUCGAAAAGAGUAAUGGAGGAUCCAAUCGAGAUUACUUGGAAACGAAACUAGAAGAAGCGAGAUUAUCCCACGGGUUGCAGCAUGAAAAAUUUAUGUACGAAACGUGGUUCGAUGCAAGCUCGAUCGCCUCUGACCACCCGUUUCCCAAAGAUAAGCGGGAUAGAUCCGACGCAUACAAUGGGUUGUAGAGGGGGGCGGGGAUGGAAGAGGCGCGCGCGUCUCGCGGCCGCAAUUUAUGGCGACUUUUCGCAACGUUUGUUGUUCCCUUGGAAAGGGAAUUUUCAUGGAGGCAAGCGUCAUUUCCGCGGCAUCGUUGCCAUUGUCCCGAGUCAGAAUGGACAGCGAACAGGGAAGAAUGUAAGUCGAUAUUGGAAAACAAAUCUGGUAGUCACAUUUUCCCGAUAACAGCGUCAAACUUCCAAUGGGAAAGAUUCGAAAGGUUGGAAACGCGUCUGGGAUAAAAGGAUACCUCCUCCCAUCUUUUUCCAAUACUUUUCCGUGUUUAUUGCAAAGCAAUCUAUCGGCGGGUACAGUCGAUCGCGUGAUGACCUCAACGAAAGAAGAUUUUCGAGUCUUUGGACAGGUGCUUCGCUUGCGAUUUUUGCGAAAUUUUCAGUCGUAAGCGAAAAGAAAUAUUUUUGUUUAUUUUGUGAUUUCAAAUAUUUACAGAUACAACGUUUCGUCUACGCUUUUUUCUAAUACUUUUAAAAUAUUAAACAUAAGAAUUCGAAAAUAUUCUAACUAGAUUUCAUCCAUUAUUUUCUCUUUACUAAGAAUAACGUCAUCCGUGAUCAUUGAUUUUAAAAUCGCAAAAGAUUUGUGAUACAAUCAGAUUCUAUCUCCCUCUUUCCUUAAUUUUGAGAAAGAGUUUUAUUCUUAUGCUUCGAUGACCGUUCGCCUAUUUGCGAUGCGUUUAUAGAAUAACUCUUAGCCUGCUCGCCAAGUGAAACCUGAAAACUGCGUCAGCCAGCUUCGCUUUCGAGUAGGAUCGAUCGAUAAGUCGACAUUUCACCUAACCGACUCUCCUUUCUCUACCCCCGCACAAUCUCCCUCUCUCUCUCUCUCUCUCUUUUCCCUCCCUGCGUCUUCGCAGUCUUCGAUUCAAAGGAAAUAAGGACGGACGUGAGGCGAAUAAUUGGGAGUAAACUCGAUUUAAACGAAGGUGCAUAGGCGAUUUUCAGAGGAAUGAAUUUUCUCCUUCGAAGGGGAAAUCGGCGUACCGAUAUAUCCGAUUAAAAAACAGGAUCUCCAAGUUCAGCUGGCACGAAGGACAGGGAUUGAAUUACGGAUUGAAUUGAAUAAAAGGAAGGGAGGGAGGAUCGUUUCGAGUCAUCGAUUGGCCUCGAUGCGUCAGUUAGAAGAGAGAAAGAAACUCGCGAGAGUAACCUUGGACGGCUGGAUUUCUAUGAAAAUUGAUGGAAGGGUGGCCUCUCGCUGCUGAAUAAUCGAAAAAGGGGGUGAAACUUGGCGAGCGCAGCGCAAGUGUAGACAGAGUGAGUCACGUGAAUAAUUUGUAAAUUAGGGGUGGCUUGCCCUCGCACUUUCGCAUCCUUUGUUAUUUUUAAACGUGUAAUUUAUAAAAAAAAUUUUCGUCCAGGGAAGAGAUAUUUUUACACGAAGACACAUGUCCCUUCUUCAUAUUCUACUUAUCAUUUCUUUAUUUUCCAAGAUGCAUUCAGAGUCCCACGCAUCUUUCACCUUUUAAAUAAAACUUGAAAGAGACUCAGAAA